UACGUAGGGGGCAAGCGUUGUCCGGAUUUAUUGGGCGUAAAGAGCGUGUAGGCGGCCAGGUAGGUCCGCUGUGAAAACUCGAGGCUCAACCUCGAGAUGUCGGCGGAAACCAUCUGGCUAGAGUCCGGAAGAGGAGAGUGGAAUUCCUGGUGUAGCGGUGAAAUGCGUAGAGAUCAGGAAGAACAUCGGUGGCGAAGGCGCUCUGCUGGACCAUAACUGACACUCAGGGACGAAAGCUAGGGGAGCGAAUGGG
rnacentral:rRNA from 1 species